UCCGCGGUAGCUCAGUGGUAGAGCAGUUGACUGUUAAUCAAUUGGUCGUAAGUUCGAAUCUUACCCGCGGAGCCA
rnacentral:tRNA from 1 species